CCUACGGGUGGCAGCAGUGGGGAAUAUUGCACAAUGGGGGAAACCCUGAUGCAGCGACGCCGCGUGAGUGAAGAAGUAUUUCGGUAUGUAAAGCUCUGUCAGCAGGGAAGAAAAUGACGGUACCUGACCAAGAAGCCCCGGCUAACUACGUGCCAGCAGCCGCGGUAAUACGUAGGGGGCAAGCGUUAUCCGGAUUUACUGGGUGUAAAGGGGGCGUAGACGGCAGGGCAGGUCUGGGGUGAAGGGCGGGGGGUCAACCCCCGGACUGCUCUGGAAACUGCCAGGCUGAAGUGCGGGAGGGGAAAGUGAAUUCCUAGUGUAGCGGUGAAAUGCGUAGAUAUUAGGAGGAACACCAGUGGCGAAGGCGGCUUACUGGACUGUAACUGACGUUGAGGCUCGAAAGCGUGGGGAGCAAACAGGAUUAGAUACCCCAGUAGUC
rnacentral:rRNA from 1 species